GGAGACAGCUCGGUGGUAGAGCACAUGCUUAGCAAGCACAAAGUCCUGGGUUCAAUCCUCAGUACCUCCA
rnacentral:tRNA from 1 species